CUAUUCACUUAAGUUAUUACAACAGGUCGCGUAACUUCUCCAUCUUAACUCGUGCACUCCUGAAACUUGACGAAUACUUAUGUAAUUAAAUUACACACAAAAACAUCGUCAAUAAAGAGUUUAACUACAAAGCCAAAACCUCAAUCCUCACAACGGCGGGGCGUGACUAUGAUUCAUCAUGUUUAAUAGCACGAAUCGUAGAUUUGCAUGUGAUUAUAUGAAAUUUGAAUUUGGAGUAUGAUUUAGAUAUUUUAGAUAAUUACUACAUGCUAAAUUAGGAAUUGACUUGAAGAAAA
rnacentral:lncRNA from 1 species